rnacentral:rRNA from 1 species
UGAGGAACAUGACCUUCGGCGGGGGAUAGCCGGCCCAACGGCCGGGUAAUACCGCGUACGACCACUUGGGGACAUCCCUGAGUGGUGAAAGCAGCAAUGCGCCGAUGGAGUGCCUCGCGGCCUAUCAGCUAGUUGGUGAGGUAACGGCUCACCAAGGCAACGACGGGUAGCUGGUCUGAGAGGAUGGCCGGCCACACGUGGGACUGAGACACGGCCCAGACUCCUACGGGAGCAG